rfam:Jannaschia aquimarina strain GSW-M26 jaqu_contig000070, whole genome shotgun sequence.
CGAGAGGUUGGCACGGGCGAGCGCCCCGCCAACCUGGUCAGGUCCGGAAGGAAGCAGCCACAACGGGUCCCGCUCGGGUCGUUGUCCAGCCUCUCACCC